rnacentral:tRNA from 3 species
GGGCGGGUAGCUCAGCUGGGAGAGCGCCACGUUUACACCGUGGAUGUCACAGGUUCGAGUCCUGUUCCGCCUACCA